rnacentral:rRNA from 1 species
GACGAACGCUGGCGGCGUGCUUAACACAUGCAAGUCGAACGGAAAGGCCCUGCUUUUGUGGGGUGCUCGAGUGGCGAACGGGUGAGUAACACGUGAGUAACCUGCCCUUGACUUUGGGAUAACUUCAGGAAACUGGGGCUAAUACCGGAUAGGAGCUCCUGCUGCAUGGUGGGGGUUGGAAAGUUUCGGCGGUUGUGGAUGGACUCGCGGCUUAUCAGCUUGUUUGUGGGGUAGUGGCUUACCAAGGCUUUGACGGGUAGCCGGCCUGAGAGGGUGACCGGCCACAUUGGGACUGAGAUACGGCCCAGACUCCUACGGGAGGCAGCAGUGGGGAAUAUUGCACAAUGGGCGGAAGCCUGAUGCAGCAACGCCGCGUGCGGGAUGACGGCCUUCGGGUUGUAAACCGCUUUCGCCUGUGACGAAGCGUGAGUGACGGUAAUGGGUAAAGAAGCACCGGCUAACUACGUG